AUUGAACGCUGGCGGCAGGCCUAACACAUGCAAGUCGAACGAGUGGCGGACGGGUGAGUAAUGUCUGGGAAACUGCCCGAUGGAGGGGGCUAACUACUGGAAACGGUAGCUAAUACCGCAUACCAUCGGAUGUGCCCAGAUGGGAUUAGCUUGUAGGUGAGGUAACGGCUCACCUCGGCGACGAUCCCUAGCUGGUCUGGGAGGAUGACCAGCCACACUGGAGAUGAGACACAGUCCAGAAGCAUACGGUAGGCAGCAGUGGGGAAGAUUGCACAAUGGGCGCAAGCCUGAUGCAGCCAUGCCGCGUGUAUGAAGAAGGCCUUCGGGUUGUAAAGUACUGUCAGUGGGGAGGCGUUACCCGCAGAAGAAGCACCGGCUAACUCCGUGCCAGCAGCCGCGGUAAUUC
rnacentral:rRNA from 1 species